UACGGAGGGGGUUAGCGUUGUUCGGAAUGACUGGGCGUAAAGCGCGCGUAGGCGGAUCAGGAAGUUGGGGGUGAAAUCCCGGGGCUCAACCCCGGAAUGGCCUUCAAAACUCCUGGUCUUGAGUUCGAGAGAGGUGAGUGGAACUGCGAGUGUAGAGGUGAAAUUCGUAGAUAUUCGCAAGAACACCAGUGGCGAAGGCGGCUCACUGGCCCGGUACUGACGCUGAGGAGCGAAAGCGUGGGGAGCAAACAGG
rnacentral:rRNA from 1 species